rnacentral:lncRNA from 1 species
UGCAAGGCUUUAAGCACGCUGGCCGCAAAGGGGCUGAACGGCAGCCUGAGCCCCAUCUCCUUAAAUACAAAUUCGUACAUAGCGAAACCAUGCCCGUCAAAGGACGAGCACACCCGUUCACCCUCCCCGGGUAUAUGGGUCGACCAAUUUUGAAGCCCGUCUGCUCUCUGCUGCUCGACGGUCAUAUAUAAUCUUGGAUCCUGGGAAGUAAGCGACGAGGCUAUUCCCCGGGGCUCUGGAGC